UAGCCUAGUGGUGAGGGCUUUGGAUCGCCAAUCCGGAGACGGCGGGUUCGAUUCCCGU
rnacentral:tRNA from 1 species